UUGAACGGUCUUUCGCAGUGAUGUUUGUUGGGAAUCAGAAUCAGAUUUAUUGUCAAGUACGGUGGGUUUACAUGUACAAGGAAUUUGUCUCGGUGUACUGGUGCUUAACAAUAACAGUACAUACAAGAAAUAAUAUAAUAUUAAAAAGAGAGAGUUAGGAAGUUAUGUUUUGGAAGGUUUAGGAAAAUAAAAAUAAAGACAUUAACUGUACAUUAGUACAGUAUGUGUUGAACACAGCAGUCUGAGUUGUGUGUUAAUGUAACGCAUAUGAAACAACAAUGUGGGGUUGUUCGUUAAUGUGAUGUGUAAAUGUUCAUGGAGGUGGAUAAGAGACCAUGGUGGGUCUUCAGUGUUGUUAAUGAGGCCAGUUGUCGAUGGGAAAAAACUGUUUUUGUGGCGUGGGUUUUUGGACUUGAUGGACCGCAGCCUCCUCCCAGAGGGGAGUGCCUGGAAAAGUUUGUGUCCAGCAUGAGAGGGGUCAGCCAUAAUCAUGACUGCCCACUUCAGGGUCCUGCAAGUGUACAGGUAAUGAAGGGGUGGCAGAUUGCAGCCAAUCACCUUCUCAGCAGAGCGAAUGACAUGCUGCAGUCUGUCCUUGUCCUUGGCAGUGGCAGCAGUGUACUAGAUGGUGAUGGAGGAGGUGAGUAUGGACUCACCAUACUCAUGAUGGAGGUGUAGAAGUGCACCAUAAUGUCUUUGGUAGGUUGAACUUCUUCAGUUGCCACAGGAAGUACACUCUCUGAUUUUUUUAAUGAGAGACCUGAUGUUCAGCUCCCACUUGAGGUCCUGGUGAUGAUAGUUCCCAGGAAGCAGAAGGAGUGCACAGUAUCGACUGGGGAGUCACACAGGAUGAUGGGGACAGGUGGGACUGGGUUGUUCCUGUUUAAAAAGUUUAAAAUUUAGGAGGUAUGCAUAUUGUCUUUCAGUCAUUCCAUGACACACUGUAAGUGAAACGCUAGAGUGGCUAUAAAAUAGAAACCGAAUCAGUGCACACUGUCCAUCACCAUUAACCAAAAAAUAAGGUUUUUAAGAAAACAAUAAGACUUUAUGAAACAGAUUCUUGCUUGAAUCUAAUGAGAUUUAAUUUGGGUUUUUUUUUUGUUUUUUUUAACAUACUCUCAGUUCAUAAAGUCGGAGCUCAUAGAAAAAUAUGAGUUCUGGUUAUACUUUCAUGUGCAUUCACCUCGUAAUUAUGACAUUUUCAACAGGAAUUGAAGCCACAUUAUGUGAGUGUAGUCAAAAGCAAGCAGGAAGUUGACCCCAAAAAUCUUAAGCUAAGAAAAAUUACAUGCUUUGACUAUUUUUUUUUUUUUAUGAGGUCAUGACAAUUUGUAUAUAUGUGUCAUGACAAAUAUAUACCACACAUGUAUCAUGCAUAUAUGUAUAAGAUGUACUUCUGUAAAGUUAGUUAAAAUCAUACACAGAUGUUUAUAAUUGAAUAAUUUUCAAGCUGUCCAAAAUUCCCAAAUAUGGUUUGAUCAUUUUAGAUAGCAUGGUUCAGGUACAUUGGGGAAAGUCUUAAAAUACAGUUUUAAAAUACAGUACAAGCUGAGAGAGGAAAAGUGAUAUACACUGAUCAGCCACAACAUUAAAACCACCUGCCUAAUAUUGUGUAGGUCCCCCUUUUACUGCCAAAACAUGUCAUGACAAAUAAUAUUCAUGUAUAUAAUGUAUGAAUAAGAUGUACUGCUGUAACAAAAGAAGCAUAAAGUUAAUUCAAAUCAUGUACAGAUGUUUAUAAUCUAAUCAUUUUCAAGCAGUCCCAAAUUCCUAAACAUAGCUCAAUAAUUCUAGACAGCAUGGUUCAGGUACAUUGGGAAUGUCUUAAAAUACAGUAAGUGGAGAGAUAUAAAGUGAAGGGAUAUAAUGUAUUAUUAUUAUCAUCAUCAUCAUCAUCAUCAUUUUUGUGUUAUGUGUUAUGAAAUAAAUGAUAAUGUUACCUUUUAGUGGUCAUUUUUACUUUAUCUGCACACAGUGAAUUGUACUGGUUUCUCCCUACAUGUGACAACAAUCUCCCAAAUUCUUCAUAUCUCUGGGCUUUGGGGUAGGGUGGCAAGACGGAAGCCUUUUAUAACCAAAAAGUACAUAAAAAUACAUCCAAUGUCCCCAAACCAUGUGAAAUAAUGUGUUAUGAUACCUGAUAAGACCAAAAUUCAACUUUUUAGCCUAAAAGUUACAGCUUGUUAUUAUUAAUUGGAAACGGACUCUCUCGUGGCACCACCCACCACGCACGUUCGAACCAAUCAUAUUAUCCUCCCUGGCGUCCGUGGGCGUGGCUAACCGCGUCGGUCUGUUAAAGGUAGCAGGUUGUAUAUGGCGAGCGGUUUACUCACUGAAGGCUGGUGAUUGGUGUAAUGGAAGCCGUCUCUGAACCGCAUUUAAUGACGGAGAACUACAGAAGUGGAGAGAAAACGCAGCACUGAGCAACUUGUAGACUUCAAACCCGACUGUAGAAUCCCUUCUAUUGUGUGCUGGAAGAUCGCUGGACUUGAAGCAACUCCAAAUGGUGGCCUGCUUGUCCAAAGCCCGUGGUGGUGGCAGUGCAUGGCGUGUGUGGGAGCAGGUCUGUUGGGAGUGUUAAGUACCAUCUCAUACACUCAGCAAACAAUAUGGAUGGAACUUUCCAGAGUUGUGGUGUCACUUUCCUGCAAAGCUUUAACCAUCAGAGAGUUAUCUUUUACUGGGGCUUUUAGCUGCAGGAGACUGAAUUACUAACAGUUUUUUUUUUGUGGAUCUGAUUUCUUCUUUCGCAGGAGUGGAUCUAAUCACGGUCUGUGAUAUUCGUCUGUGCACACAGGAUGCCUGGUUUCAGGUGAAGUCGUGUGUUCCCUGAUAGUCAAUGAUUGCUGGAGCUCUGGAAAUAGCAGGUGAGAUUGCAGGCCGGAGUCCCGUCGCUGUCCAGGGAACCAAAAUCAACCUCCUCUACUCCUGAGACCACAGUGUGACUGAGAGCCUAGACUACAUGGCUACUUGGAACAUGAACAUGUUGCAGACACAGGAUCUUAUGAAGUCAGAGCAGACAGCCCUGGAAAAGAAGAGUCCGAAAGACGUGCCCUUCUCCAAGCUUUAAAGGAGAAGAUCCAGGGCUGUUGAAGCUGUGGUGGAACUGAGACUUCAUCAUCCACAUAUCUUUAGUUCUUCUUGCUAAGUCUGAGUUUCUUUUUAGUCUUUUUAUUUUUAGACUGGUCAAAAGACUGAUUAGUGGAAGUGAAAUGAUAGAUGAACUUUUAAUUACUUGCUUUAUUAUUUGCAGGUGCCUUGUACAGUAAGACAGGGUAACUAAUACUCAAAAGCUUGUUUUGUGUGUUAACAUGUACAGUAGAUGUACAUAUUUUUUCUGGUGCUGUGUGACUGCAGAAUGUAGUGCAGUUAACACAGUAAAUUUCCUUGGAUGCUCACUUUUAACUCGAGGAGGUCACAGUUUGCCCAGACAUCUUUUUUUAAAUCUGUCAAUCCGUCACCCACGCGUCAUUCUGGGGGACGAAGAGGAGGAAGCUGGACAGAUACAUUUAUUUAUUUAUUUAUCAUUGCUGUGUUUCCUCAAUCGAGUGCAGAAAGAAGAAAAACAACACAACUGAUUUAAAAUAAAAAUAUAGAAAACAAUCUAAUGUAAGGUUCUGAUCCGGUUUGCUUUCAGCAGGAAGGCUGUCCUCUUUCCUGUUGCUCUUUCUCUUCUAUUAGUCCAUUUGUCCAGUCUGAAUCGGUUUGAUUCGUUUCGAGACGAUUCGGAGUCAAAUCAUUUUCUAGUGAGAGUCGCACACUUCCAAACGAACUAGACUGAGAUGAGUAUUUGAUUCUCACUAGAAAGUUAUUCGACUCUGAAUCAACUUGAAAUGAAUCAGUCAAACUGAUUCAGACUCUAUAAAAGGACUAUGAGAUGUGAUUAAGAUAUAUAUUCCAAUGUUUUGCUUUACAAUUCCACUGUGUGUGUGUGUGUGUGUGUGUGUGUGUGUGUGUGUGUGUGCGCGCACGUGUGUUUUUCAGGAGAACGAGAAACUCUGACACAAGAGUACAUCCUGACCAUUGGUACUGUGUACACAUCAACAUACACACACGUCUCCAUGCUGGACAUCUCAGGAGCUUUCACACACAGUGCUAGGAAUAUCCCGGGACAGAGAAACGCACCUCCUAAGUGAGCGAGUUUAGUGUCAACCGGUGAAAUUUGCUGUAGCGUGAACACUUCGCCUCUAAAUGAUCUUUCGAGGCAGCUUCUUCAUCACUACCUGCUCCGUUUGACUCAAAAAUGUAACGAACGGUUUCAAAAAGUCACGAUGUCUUCAGUUCAUGUGAUUUUACUGUUGAAUUUAAACAGGAAAUGUGAAAUAUUUUUGUUCCUUUGUUUCCUCUACUGUCUUUUUGCUGUGAUCUUGAACACGGUUGUAAUUUUAUUUUUAAAUAAUAAAUAAAUGAUCAUUCUAGUUCUCUCACUUUCCUUGUCCUAAUUGUCCUGUAUCUGUUAAAUCCGUUUCAUCUCUGGUCUUUCUGUCUGUAUGAACACUUGUAGAAAUGACAUGUAGUCCAUAUUUUUAAAUGAUUCAUGAUUUUGAAUUUAAAUAAAGAUAUUCUUUAAUUCUGUAUUUUGUCAUUUAAUUAUCAUUAGAAAUCAGAAGAUCAGAUUAAAGCCAUGGCUUCUUUACCUGCCGAAGCUGUAAAACUUUCAAUAAACCAGUCAAUAGAUCAACUGAAUAAAUGUAGAUUUUUAUUUGCUGAUUAGAUGUAUUGAUGGUGUUGAUAGAUUAUUUGAAGAUUUUUAUUGAUCUUGAACAAUCAUUCAGUUAAAUAUUUUUUUUAAAAACUUGAUAAAUAGUUGAUU